rnacentral:lncRNA from 1 species
CUGAGUGUGUGUAAAUUUUCCUCUGAACCAUUUAAUGUAUAUCUCUUAUUAACCAGAACCAAAAGCACAGAGCUUAGCUGGGCACCAAAACAUGUGGACAGGCAUCUAGAAGAAGAUAGAAAAGACUUUAAUCAUGCUGAGCACCGCAUCUUGAAACUCUACUGGAGACAGAUCCUCCUCUCUAAAUUAGAUGACCAGAGAGUUACUCAGGAAGCUAAUGUUCCUCUGCCUCCAGAAGUUGGAGAUUUGCAGAAGACCUUCAAAAUCAGAGUAGCCUUAGGCAUGAGAAUGUGCAACACACCAUCAUUAUUGAUUACGACGAUAAGUAUUGUUUUAUUAGGAAACUGCUCACAGGGAAUCUGCUCAGACUACAGGACAGCUCCAAAGGUGACAGCAAUAACCCAUCACAGGCACACACUGUAUUGUACAUCAUCAGGAGGUCACAAAUCAGCAGAGCACAGGAGAUCUCCGGGCUUUCAUCUGCAUAAUAAACUUCCUUGCCAGAAUAUAAAAGUAGGUCGUUGGUACAGACCAAGGCUCUUUCAAAGGAGCUGUUCAUUUUAUCGCUACAAUCGUCACUGAGUGCACUGCUGGGAGUUCACAGGGAGGAAAAAAAAAGCUGAAUCAGGUCUAAAGUAGAAUGGGGCUCUGUUGAAGGGUGUUGCUGUACAGCAGUGGACAACUUUGGCAUCGCUGCUGGGAAGAAGGUCAUCUACUAAUUGCAUUUAUCCCCGGAUGACUAAUUGAAGCAGAUGACCAAAAAAAAAAAAAAAAAAGACCCACAAAGUUUUCUUCUCUGCAUUUGGUCGAUAGUGCCUUACAUUUUCAGUUGCCUUCAUGGGCAUCUGCUGUAGUUUAAACACUGAUGCAUAUUCUGUUGUUCAUUAGCCAAAAAAUGUCAGUAAAAAAGGCUUUCAUCAUCAAACCAAAC